rnacentral:rRNA from 1 species
AAUAUGUGACUUUUGGAGCAACCCUGAUCCAGCUAUUCCGCGUGUGUUAAGAAGGUUAUCGGUUUGUAUAGCACAUUACGUUGGGAGGUAGGGCUUUAGGUUCAUACGAUGAAGUUUUGACGUUACCAAAUGAAUAAGAACCGGCUAACUCGUUGCCAGCAGCCGCGGUAAUACAGAGGGUGCAAGCGUUAAUCGGAAGUACUGGGCGGAAAGCGCGAGUAGGUGGUUCAGUAAGAAGGUAGUGAAAACCCCGGGCUGAACCUGGGAACUGCUUUCAUUACUACUGAGCUAAUGUACUGUAGAGGGUAGUAGAAUUUCCUGUGUAGCGGUGAAAUGCGUAGAUAUAGGAAGGAACAUCAGUGGCGAAGACGACCACCUGGGCUAAUACUGACACUGAUGUGCGAAAGCGUGGGGAGCAAAC